rnacentral:rRNA from 1 species
AGAGUUUGGAAUCCUGGCUCAGAUUGAACGCUGGCUGCACGCUUAACACAUGCAAGUCGAACGGCAGCGAGGAGUAGCUUGCUACUCUGUCGGCGAGUGGCGGACGGGUGAGUAAUACAUAGGAACCAACCAUAGAGUGGGGGAUAACCUGGGGAAACCCAGACUAAUACCGCGUACGCCCUACGGGGUAAAGCUAGGGACCAUUUAUGGCCUGGCGCUUUUUGAUGGGCCUAUGUUGGAUUAGCUUGUUGGUGGGGUAAAGGCCUACCAAGGCGACGAUCUAUAGCUGGUCUGAGAGGAUGGUCAGCCACACUGGGACUGAGACACGGCCCAGACUCCUACGGGAGGCAGCAGUGGGGAAUAUUGGACAAUGGGGGCAACCCUGAUCCAGCGAUGCAGCGUGUGUGAAGAAGGCCUUCGGGUUGUAAAGCACUUUCAGUGGUGAGGAAGUUUCAUUGGUUAAGAGCUGGUGGAAUUGACGUUAACCACAGAAGAAGCACCGGCUAACUCUGUGCCAGCAGCCGCGGUAAUACAGAGGGUGCGAGCGUUAAUCGGAAUUACUGGGCGUAAAGCGCACGUAGGCGGAUGAUUAAGUCGGAUGUGAAAGCCCUAGGCUCAACCUGGGAAAGUCAUCUGAUACUGGUUAUCUAGAGUAUGAUAGAGGCAAGUGGAAUUCUCGGUGUAGCGGUGAAAUGCGUA